AGUUGGUGGAGCGAUUUGUCUGGUUAAUUCCGAUAACGAACGAGACUCUAGCCUAUUAAAUAGUUCGCCGAUAUCGAUUCGUCGGCGCUAACUUCUUAGAGGGACAAGUGGCGUUCAGCCACACGAGAUUGAGCAAUAACAGG
rnacentral:rRNA from 1 species